CUGCCAUGAUGACAAACCUUGUCGACAUCUGAACCACUCUUGUUACAAGUACAGGAGUACAUAGCAUUUGGUGAAGGAUUGCCCACAGAGGCCCAAGGACCUCGCCAGACCAGUUGCCUAAGGACGUGUUUACCACCUGGAUGAGCCUGAUGUCCCCACCACUCCUGAUAUCAUACAGGGUAUGCUUUCUAUUCAUAAUUCUACCACACGUGCCUUGAUUGAUACUGGUGCCACUCAUUCUUCAUAUCUUGUAAUUUUACUUGUAAAUUAGACUUUAAGCAAGAACCCCAAGGAGAUAUUUUAGCUAUAGAGAAACCCUUGAGGGGACUAUUAGAAGCCUUU
rnacentral:lncRNA from 1 species